rnacentral:rRNA from 1 species
GAUGAACGCUGGCGGCAGGCUUAACACAUGCAAGUCGAACGCAUCCUUCGGGGUGAGUGGCAGACGGGUGAGUAACGCGUGGGAACGUGCCCUUCAGUUCGGGAUAACCCAGGGAAACUUGGGCUAAUACCGGAUACGUGCGAGAGCAGAAAGAUUUAUCGCUGAAGGAUCGGCCCGCGUCUGAUUAGCUAGUUGGUGGGGUAAUGGCCCACCAAGGCGACGAUCAGUAGCUGGUCUGAGAGGAUGAUCAGCCACAUUGGGUCUGAGACACGGCCCAAACUCCUACGGGAGGCAGCAGUGGGGAAUAUUGGACAAUGGGCGCAAGCCUGAUCCAGCCAUGCCGCGUGAGUGAUGAAGGCCUUAGGGUUGUAAAGCUCUUUCGUCCGGGACGAUAAUGACGGUACCGGAAGAAGAAGCCCCGGUUAACUUCGUGCCAGCCGCCGCCGCGG